GCUCUCCAACAUGGGGAGUGAAGGAAAGUACAUCAUGCAGAAAAACACCCCUUGCAUGCCUAGUGUGAGGCAGCGAAUGAGGGAAAGGAACAAGCCUGUUAUUCAAGUCCAAGAGGUUAGAACUCAGAAUAAAAUAUAAAAAAUGGCGAUACGGAAUGAGAUCCUCCAACAGCAGUAUGUGAAGCUCUUCGAGAUGUUUCACGAGGUUAUACAAACUCAGUCUCAAGAGUCAUUGCCCUCUUGACAGCGGAUCAACACAUAGGUACCCACGCGAAGUUUCACAUGUCUUCAACACGGGGAUUCUUAAUAAGGAAUGGCCUUCUACCCAAGAUAUUGAUCAACACGAGACUUCUCUCAACCCAGCUGCUUCAAAUCGAAACAAGAUAAGUGGAAGAUGACAUCUCCUUGCAAAACGAUUGGAAUGAUCAAAAGCUGGUUAUCGCGACUGUUAAUACCUCUUGAGGCAUCGUCGAGAAAAACCUAUCCCUAUAGACUCAAGGAUUAUUGACCCAAGGGUCAUCGAAGGAAUCAAUCUGUUACCAUAAUCAAGGUCAACUACUAACCUAAGGAAGAAACAACAAGACUUAGAUGGACAAGAAGGUGUUUGAGUCUCAAGGAACUUUGAACCGAAAUUUUCUUGAAGCCAGUAUGGUGAAUAAAAAAAAAAGUCACAUACUCUUGACUAAACUUCUCCACUUCCAAGAAAUGAUGGAAACUUACGAAUGAGGGUUCCAAUAGUCCCUGACGCCACUCAGGACCCCCUUAUCCUGCAGCUUUUUGAGGAAGUGAACAGACUAAAGGCCAAACGCCAUACUAAGGUACCUGACUGGAAUUAGCCGAGGCCAGGCCCUCUGACAAGAAGGAUCUUUGGCACCCCUUUACAAGGAGAAACAAAAUAGAAGAUUGGUUGCCAUCGUAAAUUGGUGAGGGGGAAGAUCCAAUUGAGCAUAUCUAUCUCUUUGAAUCCACCAUGGUAUACUGAGGCAUAAUAAUGAAGAACGAUGUCUCAUUUUCCCCUUCAUUCUUUCUGUGGGAGCUCUCAAUUAGUAUUGUUGUCUUCAACCUGAUACAAUAGAUUCUUUCAUUAAGCUUAAUAUGACCUGGUAAGAUGCGGAACCUGUGCCAAAUAUGAACCCUGGUUCAAAACUGCUGCGAUUGAGAAAUUCGCAAUGAACAGGUGGAUCUGUAUUAGUUGCUUUGCCAUUUGUCAAUGCAAAGCCAAUGAGUAGCAGCACACCAAAGAGCAAACAUCGUGAAUAUUUCAUUGCCAUAACUUGGGAGUUUUGAUAUCGAUCGAGAUAAUUAAGUUAUCUCCUCCGGGAAUAUUGCAUGGGGUUUAUAUAGAGAAAGGGAGGAAGGGAUAUGGUGUCUACGUACUAGCUCAUGAGAAUAGUAAAGGGUUAAAAUUUGUAAACAAAAUUGGCUUUGAAAGUCCUAGUUUAAAGACCAAGUCAUGGUAUGUUUCAAAAAAAAAAAAAAAAAGACCAAGUCAUGGUCUGUAGUUUAAAAGAAAGCACGUUCCAUGUACCCAAAAGUUGCGUAUAUAUGUACGUAAAAGAACGGAUCAUCUAAACAAAAAGACUUAUAUUGAACUAUUCAUUUUAUUGAUAUAUUUGGAUAACUAAACAGUCUUCAAUUUGAAUAGUUUUUUUGUAUACAUGAUAUUCAAAUUAAGAUCAAAAAAUUAGUAACUUAUUCAAACAGUAGAAAACUACUUGACCCAGCAAAAAAGUAGAAAUUUAUGACCAGAAUUCUUUACAUAAGUACAUAACGGAUAAAGAUGAAGAAUUUAAUCUUGAUCUUUUUGUUCUUGUUAGAGUUUUAGUAUUGAAUCGUUAAACCCAGUGGUUUUUGUGAAAUUGUCUUUCCACUAUAAUUAAGAAGGCAUCGAAAUAGCUAGGUUCUCAAAUUGGCUAUUUUGCUCCUAAAGAUUGUGAAAGGAUUCCAUUGGGGCGGCUAUUUCGAAGGUUUGGACACCUUCAAAGUAUAGUAGUUACACAUUCUUCUUGCUAGUACAAGAAUGAGAAUAGUAAAGGGUUAAAAUUUGUAAACAAAAUUGGCUUUGAAAGUCCUAGUUUAAAGUCCAAGUCAUGGUCUGUAGUUUAAAAGAAAAGCACGUUUCAAGUACCCAAAAGUUGUGUAGGUACGUUAAAGAAUGGAUAAUGCUUGCGUUCCACCUAUGAGGGAUGAACAUAUUCUACAAAUUUUAUAUUGUCAUCGUUCCGUUUCAAAAUAUUUCUUUCAAGAUCAUCAAAACAAAAACAAUUAUUUGAAUCUGAGAUCGUUUAGUCAUUUAAAUAUAUGAACCCAAUUGACAGUGUCGACACUAAGUAAAAGAUUUAUAACGAACUAUUUUUAUUGAUACAUUUGGAUGAAUAAGCAUUCUUCAAUUGGAAUAGUUUUUUGUAUAUAUGAUAUUCAAAUUAAGAUUAAGAAAUUAAUAACUGAUACUACAAAAAUACUUUAUUUAUUAAAAAAAAUAAAAUUCCUUGAGUUGAAAAGUAAGAUAAUGUACACAACAGUUCGAUCGAUCUCAUCUUGAUUCGAAAUGAUCAAUCCUUGAGUUACCCUUGAGUUUUCCAGCAAAAGAAAAUGUUUUCUGUAUUCGGAAACAAAUAGUCAUUUAUCUGCAUGUUUAUAUUAUGUCUGUCCAACUGUUGAAGGGCAUAACUUUUGAAGUUGAAUAUGGACGAUUAGCUACAGAGACUUAUUCAAACUAUAGAAAACUAUUUGACACCACAAAAAAGUAGAAAUUUAUGACUAGAAUUCUUUACGUAUGUACAUAAUCGAUAAAGAUAAAGAAUUUAAUCUUGAUCCUUUACUUCUUGUUAGAGUUUUAAUGUUGAAUCCGUGAACCCAGUGGAUUUGUGAAAUUGUUUUUCCACGCAAAUUAAGAAGGCAUCGAAAUAGCUGGGUUCUCAAAUUGGCUAUUUCGCUCCUAAAGAUUGUGAAAGGAUACCAUUGGGGUGGCUUCUUCUUGGUAGUACAAGAAAUUGAUUAGCUGUUUAAAAAAAACAGGUUUUUUAUUAGCUUACAUCUAUUUAUUUUGAUUUAAUAUUUUUUUUACAAUUCAAAAAUACAAAAUUUUGACCCCCCCUGUAAUUUUUCUAAUUUUUUUCUUUAUUUGAAUUUUUGGGACUUAUAUUGAAUUUUAAUGUGUAUCACAACUUGAAGGGAUUGGGAGGGAGGGUCAUUUCAUUUUUGGAUAUAGAACGAAUAGGUUCAGCAGAUGAGAGAAUUAAGGAUACGCACCAGAAAGACUAUCCAAUGCAUAAUGAUGUGCCGAAAAUUAGAACAUUUUUGUUACCCGACAAACCCUUAGGAGAAGCAAAUGCGACACGUAGACUAAUCAGUAAAAUUAAAGAAGUAGCAUUUAAUGCAAAAAUAGCCAAUAGGAAAGCAAUAGUCAUGUUUCUAAUCCUCCAAUCUACCAACAAAAGAAUUAUACCAUUUGAUCCCUUUAUCAACCAAAAAAAUUGUACACCUUAUAUACUGCUUUGGGUAACCCUUUCAACAACUAAGAGAUCCAUUCGCUGAACAAGGCGACUAGUUGAGGUACGGAUCCUCCCAAUAUUGGGAGUAUCCGUACUUCAAUUGAGCUGAUGACAAAUCAUUUCACCAUUUUAGUUGGAACUUUAGGCAGUUCUCAAAAAAAGAUAGCGAAAAAAAUUAUUCCUAAAGUUUAGACUAAAAGGAAUGUAUAAACCAGUGCUUCCAUAGAUUCAAUCGUGGUUUACAAUUAUAUCUUCCAUACUUGUUUAUUUGGGAUUGUCUCCCGGAUAAAUAAAGAACAAGAGUCAAAGAAAAGGCAGUGAUUCAAAUCUAGAUUUAUCUGGUACCCCCAUCUAAAAAAUCACAAAAAGAAAAUAAAAAAGAAAAGUAACAAGUAACAAAACAUAUUGUAUCAGACUACUUGUCUUCUUGUAGUUGGAUCUCCAAGCUUUUGGAAUGCUCCAAAUUCCAGUUGAGCAUCUAAAUCUGGAUCAAUACCAGCAAAAACAUCUCGAAACAAGGUUCUAGCUCCAUGCCAAAUGGAUUUAGUUUUUUUUCCCAUAAUCCCUCACUACUAUAUAUAUCGUGCAACGUGACAUCUGUCUGUAUGUUUUUUUUUAUUCAUUCAAUUUUUUUAAGCAUAACAUAAUAUAGCGUAUUUGUAUAAUUUAUAAUAUAAAAUAUUCUUCCUUUAACCAUUCCUUAGCUCUGAUUUAUUGAAUUUCCUUUUAUCUAUUUCUUCAUCUUCAUCGAAAGAUAUAUAUUCCAAUGCAAUAGUUAUAUGACAAGUAGAUCUUUUUAUAGGAUAACCCCAUCCUCGAGCCAGGGGCUUCAUUUUUUCACAGUUGCGUGUUACAAAUAACGCAAGCCACAAUGACCACUCUUGUGUUAUAACUAAUAUAAGAUAAAAUUAGGUGAUGCAAUAAAAUUAAAGAAGGGAGCAACGUUGAAUUAAGAAAAAUGAUUGAAGAAUUGUUAUUUUAUAGGUUAAUAGGUUAUUUAUCAUUGUCAUAUUCCCCAAAGUUUAUGUUUUGGAUUGUUUAAAUUGUUCUAGUUAACGUAGCUAUGAUCCUGUCAGUUUUGGCUCAUUAUGUAUGGAUUCGAAGGGAACAACGAGAUUUACAAAAGUAAUUGAGCACAUGGGGAUUUGGCAAAGUAUUCACGUCUAAAUAGAUAAAAUAUAGAUUUAAGAGCUUUAGGAAAAUUUGAUAUUUGUUGUUUGUACCAUACUUCGUCAAUCCCAAAGCUACCGAGCACCGGUCAACUCUGUACCUUCAAGGACCCACUGAAGAUUUGAUUUGGCGGCACUCUUGCCAAAGCACACAAGUUCCUCUCCAAUAAAGAGACCAAUCACAAAAUGACACAUGUCAACAUCAGAAUAAAGCUCCUAGAGUCCCAGAUCAAUUGUGGGGACGACACUAAUUCCUACUCUCACCAGCUUUGUCAAACUAGUUUCUAUUUGAUAAGGCAUCGCUCUCCAACAUGGGGAGUGAAGGAAAGCACAGCAUGCAGAAAAACACCCCUUGCAUGCCUAGUGUGAGGCAGCGAAUGAGGGAAAGGAACAAGCCUGUUAUUCAAGUCCAAGAGGUUAGAACUCAGAAUAAAAUAUAAAAAAUGGCGAUACGGAAUGAGAUCCUCCAACAGCAGUAUGUGAAGCUCUUCGAGAUGUUUCACGAGGCUAUACAGACUCAGUCUCAAGAGUCAUUACCCUCUUGACAGCGGAUCAACACAUAGGUACCCACGCGAAGUUUCACAUGUCUUCAACACAGGGAUUCUUAAUAAGGAAUGGCCUUCUACCCAAGAUAUUGAUCAACACGAGACUUCUCUCAACCCAGCUGUUUCAAAUCGAAAAAAGAUAAGUGGAAGAGGACUUCUCCUUGCAAAACGAUUGGGAUGAUCAAAAGCUGGUUAUCACGACUGUCAAGACCUCUUGAGGCAUCGUCGAGAAAAAC
rnacentral:lncRNA from 1 species